CAGACCUAUAAUCGGAAAAGACUACCCGCUGAGUUUAAGCAUAUCACUAAGCGGAGGA
rnacentral:rRNA from 1 species